AACACAGACAAGGCCAACCACUUCACCAGAUGAAAGCCUUUUCAGAGGCAGAAUAUGACAGAAUUGAAUUACUACAGAGGAAGAUAUGAAGAGCUACAGCUAGCAAGUAUGGGCCAUUCUGUCAGGUAUUUCUGCAGAAGCCACACAUUAUAAGUUCACCUAACAGUCCUGGUACCUGCUAUGGCCAGAAGAUGACAUUGGAUCGCUAAGAACUGGAGUCAUUGUUGGUUAGACUCUCUCACAGGAACUCGAGAUUCACAGAUUUUGCAGACUACAUGGCGAAGGAGCUCCAGUGACAUGGCUGUCUUGACUUUCCAAUGUUAACUGGCUCUGAAGAUCAGGCUGUCCUCAAACUCCUUGAUCUGCCUGCUUGUCUCCCAAGUGCCAGGACUGAAGAUGUGUAACACCAUCGCCCCAUGGUUGUAAUGAAGCAUUAAGAAUCUGAUUAAGAAUGGAUUGCUUGGAUAAGAUCUACCUGAAGACCAAGGUGUUCCCAAAAGACACCUACCAUGCCACAGGGGUACGUGUUUCACUGUGUUCAUAGCAGCCUUAUUGGUGAUAGCCAGAAGCUGGAAACAACCCAGAUGUCUCACCAUGGAAGAAUGGAUACAGAAAAUGUGGUUGGUUUACACAAUGGAAUAUGAUUCAGCUAUUAAGAAUGAGGACAUUAUGAGUAUUGCAGCAGGAGCCUAGCAUGGCUGCCCUUCAAGAGGCCCAACAAGCAGCUGACUGAGACAGACACAGAUACACCCAACAAAAAUGUACUGACCACUGUGGUUGAAUGAGGGAGAGGCUGGAAGAAGCUGAGGAAGAGGGUGACCCCAAAGGAAGACCAGCAGUCUCAACUAACCUGACCCCCAAGAUCUCUCAGACACUGACCCACCAACUGGCAGCAUACAAGAAGUGGUUCAAGGACUCUGACACAUAUACAGCAGAGGACUUCCUGGUCUUGCCUAAGUGAGAGAAUACUUGCCUAACCCUAGAGAGAUUUGGAGCCCCAGUGAGUGGGGAGGUCUGGUAGGGAGGUGGUGACAUUCCUUUGGAGACAGGGUGGGAGGAGG
rnacentral:lncRNA from 1 species